rnacentral:rRNA from 1 species
UGCAGUCGACGAUGAUUCCCAGCUUGCUGGGGGGAUUAGUGGCGAACGGGUGAGUAACACGUGAGUAACCUGCCCUUAACUUCAGGAUAAGCCUUGGAAACGGGGUCUAAUACUGGAUAUAGACUUUUCCUCGCAUGGGGGAUGGUUGAAAGAUUUAUUGGUUUUGGAUGGACUCGCGGCCUAUCAGCUUGUUGGUGAGGUAAUGGCUUACCAAGGCGACGACGGGUAGCCGGCCUGAGAGGGUGACCGGCCACACUGGGACUGAGACACGGCCCAGACUCCUACGGGAGGCAGCAGUGGGGAAUAUUGCACAAUGGGCGAAAGCCUGAUGCAGCGACGCCGCGUGAGGGAUGACGGCCUUCGGGUUGUAAACCUCUUUCAGUAGGGAACAAGGCCAGCAUUUUUGUUGGUUGAGGGUACUUGCAGAAGAAGCGCCGGCUAACUACGUGCCAGCAGCCGCGGUAAUACGUAGGGCGCAAGCGUUAUCCGGAAUUAUUGGGCGUAAAGAGCUCGUAGGCGGUUUGUCGCGUCUGCCGUGAAAGUCCGGGGCUCAACCCCGGAUCUGCGGUGGGUACGGGCAGACUAGAGUGAUGUAGGGGAGACUGGAAUUCCUGGUGUAGCGGUGAAAUGCGCAGAUAUCAGGAGGAACACCGAUGGCGAAGGCAGGUCUCUGGGCAUUAACUGACGCUGAGGAGCGAAAGCAUGGGGAGCGAACAGGAUUAGAUACCCUGGUAGUCCAUGCCGUAAACGUUGGGCACUAGGUGUGGGGGACAUUCCACGUUUUCCGCGCCGUAGCUAACGCAUUAAGUGCCCCGCCUGGGGAGUACGGCCGCAAGGCUAAAACUCAAAGGAAUUGACGGGGGCCCGCACAAGCGGCGGAGCAUGCGGAUUAAUUCGAUGCAACGCGAAGAACCUUACCAAGGCUUGACAUGAAUCGGAAACGCUUGGAAACAAGUGCCCCACUUUGUGGUCGGUUUACAGGUGGUGCAUGGUUGUCGUCAGCUCGUGUCGUGAGAUGUUGGGUUAAGUCCCGCAACGAGCGCAACCCUCGUUCUAUGUUGCCAGCACGUGAUGGUGGGGACUCAUAGGAGACUGCCGGGGUCAACUCGGAGGAAGGUGAGGACGACGUCAAAUCAUCAUGCCCCUUAUGUCUUGGGCUUCACGCAUGCUACAAUGGCCGGUACAAUGGGUUGCGAUACUGUGAGGUGGAGCUAAUCCCAAAAAGCCGGUCUCAGUUCGGAUUGGGGUCUGCAACUCGACCCCAUGAAGUCGGAGUCGCUAGUAAUCGCAGAUCA